ensembl:lncRNA
GUCUGACUGAACCACUGGUUCAGGUGGAUUAUAAACUGGUUCCCAUCGUAGAGACUGGGGUCAUAGAGCUGGGGGCCGAGGUCUGACUGAACCACUGGUUCAGGUGGAUUAUAAACUGGUUCCCAUCGUAGAGACUGGGGUCAUAGAGCUGGGGGCCGAGGUCUGAGCCACUGGUUCAGGUGGAUUAUAAAACUGUCAUAGACUUGGACUUGGUCGAAUGAGAAAUGCUUGUUUUGAAACCUGGGGUGAAUACGGUCUGCCCUAAUGACUACACCCUAGUCCUCCUGGGAGUAACCCAGUCACGAGUUAGAGGUCAGGGUUCACCUUACUGCAGGCCGAAGAGCAGACCAGCCUGCUGACAGUGAGGAAAGGAAGGGAUCCCCCCCAACUCUCUCUGUCCUCUCUCUUCCGUCCACUCUCCUCUCUGUCGUCUCUGUCCUCUCUCUUCCAUCCACUCUCCUCUGUCGUCUCUCCUCCGUGACCCGGAAACCGAUGAGUGGUCGAGGAGUGUAUCAGUUCGUUAGUAGGCGAACGGAAGACGGUCCUCUCCUCCUUGUCUAAGCCUCCUUUUGACGAGGAAGCACAAGUGUAUCCUACAAACGGAAGAGCUUGGAUAUCUGCCACGCACCCUUUUGAAUCAGCUGUUGUAUUGCCAGAGGAGAAAAGCACGGACACGUUUGUGUUUUUUAAACAAUAUGCUAUUUAUCCUUUAUCUAUAAAACGUAUCGCAUAACUAACUUCAUUCAUAUUUAUCACGUAACACAUUUAUUUUGGAAUCCACCCCUGUAAACGUCAUUCGCCUGAUGGAACAGGAAACAGGAAAAGGGGACAGUUUCAUUUCAUUCAAGCGCAUUUUCGUCCACUUUCCCCUCUCCCUCGCCUCCUCGAUUUGACCUUUUUUCAAAAGGAGAGAGGCCGCAGGAAGAAAUCAAAUGGAGAAAAGGCUCAUAAUCUACAUUCAAAACGGCACCAUAUCUCCCUAUAUAUAUAUAUAUAGUGCACUACUUUUUGCAGUAUAGGGUGCUGUUUAGGACAAACUAUAUGUUUGAGGGGAAAGAGAAUCCAGGGACGAGUGGCGGUGGAGGAGACAGACGGCAGUCCACACAUCUACAGUGACUUGCAAAAGUAUUCAUACCCCCCCCUUUUUUUUUGGAUUUCUUCACAUUUUUUAUUGUGUUGCAAAAAGUGGGAUUCAAAUGUAUUUUAAUUAGUCAACUCAUGUGGUCUCUCAAAGUGGAAUGCAACCAUGUUAAAGAUUUAAAAGUAAUUCGAAAGCUAAAAUAGUAUUCAGACCCUUUUUGUUUAGGUGUAAAUUAGUUCAGGAGUAAAAUGUGACUUAACGUAAUAAGUGACAUGGACUCUGUGUGAUAAAAUAGGUGUUGACAUUUAUUUCUGAAUGACUAACCCUUCCCCCCUCUUCACAGAUUCAACUACAAAGACCAGGGAGCUUUUCAAAAGCCUUGUUUAAAAAAAAAAUAAUAAUAAUAAAUGGUAGUGAUUGGUAGACGGGUAACAAUAUCAAAGCAAACGAUGAAUUUUAAUAUCUCUUCAAGCACGGUCACGUUAAUAAUGAUGCCGUGGAUGAUUUAUUAAAACCACCCAGACACAUCAAAGAUACAGUCUCCCUUCUGAACUGAGGUACAGGACAAGGAUGUUACCAUGGCGAUUGGAUGUUACCAUGGCGAUUGGAUGUUACCAUGAGGCCAUUGGUGAUUUUUAAAAUGGUCAAGUUCAAAUGGCUGUGAUGGGAUGAAAACAAGAGGUUGGAUCAACAUUGUAGUGGACUCCACAAUAAUGACUUAAAUAACAGUGACAAGAAUGCAAAAUAUACAUCUGGUAUGCAGCAGAGUGAUAAUGAGAAUGAGAAAACACUGUUCAGAAAUAUACUUUUUUGGCCUAAAUACAACACAAAGUACUUAACUGCCUCCUUAUAUUCAAGCAUGUUGGUGGCUGCAUCAUGUUAUGGGUAUGCUUGACAAAUGCAAAUACUGAGGAGGUUUUCAGGAUAAAAAGAAACUAGGUGGAGCAAAGCACGGUCAAAAUCCUUUGUCUGCUUUCCACCAGACACUGAGAGAUGAUUUCACCUAUUCAGAAGGACAUUAACCUAAAACACAAGGCCAAAUCUACACUGGAGUUGCUUAUCAAGGAGGCUGGGUAUGUUCCUGAGUGGGCAACUUACAGUUUUGAUUUAUAUCUGCUUGAAACUCUAUGGCAAGACUUGAAAAGAGCUUUCUAGCCAUGAUCCCCAACACCUUGACAGAGCUUGAAGAAUUUUGAAAAGAAUAAUGGGUAAUUAUUGUACAAUCAAGGUUUGCAAAGCUCUUAGAGACUUACCCGAGAAGACCCACAGAUGUAACUGCUGCCAAAAAGGGGUUUAUAUUAUAUGUAUUGACUCAGGGAGCUGAAUAAUUAUGCAGUCUUAAAUGUAAAAAAUAAUAAUAAUAAAUCCACGUUGACAGAGAAGUACAAUUAAAUCCAUUUUAAUUCCACUUUGUGAAACAAUAAAAUGAAUAGUUUUGCAAGGCACUGUUUCUGCCUUGCUCUGUGUCACAACAUAUUACAUGACACCCUGUUAAGUGGCUACCAAUGGUAAUUCUUCUUUUUCUAUGCAUUUCCUUAUUACUUUGACUGACUUGUGUACACAGACUGCACAAACACACACACAACGUGAUAUAUAUAUAUAUAUAUAUAUAUAUAUAUAUAUAUAUAUAUAUAUAUAUAUA